GGCGAACGCUGGCGGCAUGCCUAAUACAUGCAAGUUGAACGAUGAUAUUCUCUGUUUGUAGAGAAUUGAAGAGUAGCGCACGGGUGAGUAACACGUGGGGAACCUGCCCAUGAGGGGGGGAUAACAUUCGGAAACGGAUGCUAAUACCGCAUAAUGCUUUGGACCGUCUGGUUCAGAGACGAAAGACGGCUUUUGCUGUCACUCAUGGACGUCCCCGCUCUGUAUUAGCUAGUUGGGUAGGUAAUGGCUCACCAAAGCAGUGAUACGUAGCCGACCUGAGAGGGUGAUCGGCCACACUGGGACUGAGACACGGCCCAGACUCCUACGGGAGGCAGCAGUAGGGAAUCUUCGACAAGGGGCGAAGGCCUGAUGGAGCAAUGCGGGGGGAAUAAAGAAGGUCUUCGGAUCGUAAAGUUCUGUUAUUGGGGAGAAAGAAGUCGAGGGGGAACUGUCUAGACUUUGACGGUACCUAACCAGAAAGGCACGGCUAACUACGUG
rnacentral:rRNA from 1 species